AUAAAGAAUUUGACUUUAUUUGCAAUUGGCUUGGUGAGUGAUAUAUCCUAGCACUAUAGGACAUUUCAAACUCUUAUCAUGUUAUGCUAAUUUGCAAUCAUAUGACAGGUAAUUAAAAUUGGGUUCAUAGCAUGAAGUAGUCAGGUCAAAAACAGUUUGUGGCAUCGAAAACAAUUUAGUUUCAGGUUGAUGGUACAAAAGCAGGAUCGUUGAAUAGCUAUGGACCUCUAUCUUUUCUAAAGGUGAAAAAGAGAAGAGAGGUGCUUGAAGAUAAACUUGAAAAACAAGACACUAGAGCUAUAUAUUCUGUCAAUAGACAAUACUCUAUUCCAAAUUUCAUUGAUAUCUUGAGAUGCAGCAUAAUAUCGUUUCCAAGAGUAUGGUAUGAGCAACACCUAUGAUUAGGAGACGAAACAGAAAUCCAGGAACUUGAGGAGGCUUUAAAAACGAUUAUCUUUAUAUGCAUGAACUUGACAAGGAUUUACAAAGAGAGGUACUUGAUUACACAUCUCAAAAGCUCACUCUGGCUGCACAUUGAGUUCAUGAUGAAACAACUAAUAAUGGUGAAGCAAAUGUUGAUGAUGAUGAUGAUGAGAUGAGUAAACUUUUGUUGUCACGUAAAAAGAGGAAGCCAACUACAGUCACUACUUAUUCAUCCAAAUGAUUAAGUCGAUUCAGAUUACAAAGCCUUCCCUCUAUUAUGAAAAAGUCGAUUCAGAUUACAAAGCCUUCCCUCUAUUUCAAAACUUAAUCGAACUUCGACUACUAUGCUCUCAUAAUGGCAUUCAUGACUAGAGUGAAGUACUAAAACUGCUCCGGAAUUGUCCCAAAAUAAAAUCUCUAUACAUUAAUAAGGUUUAUUUGUCACGCUGAUGGUUUAUGUUUGUUCUUCUAUUCAACUAUUUUUACAAAUAAUUUUUUGACAGGGAGUUUGUUCAUCAAACACCACAGAGGACUGAAACAGCCAAGCCAUGUUCAUGAAUGUGUUUCUUCUCAUCUAACAACUAAGGGUGAUACUCUUUUUUCUCUACAUGUUAUGAAGAAAACCAUCUUAUUAUGCAUUCUCAUUUUUCUCUUUUAGUCGAGGAAAACCAUUUUAUUAUUAGUGGUUGGAUGUUUCACGGUUUCUGUGUUGUUGCAGACGUUUCCAAUAGUAUUGUCAUUUUGUUUUAAUAAUUACUCUAAUAACUGUCCUUGAGGAAGUUACUUACUGUUAUCAUAACAGUCUCUUGGGAAGUUAAUACUAGCUGUAACUUCUAUGAUCCAUCAAGGCAUAUUUCAUACAUGUAACAGCAAAAAUUGACAUAUCUAAGGAAGGCACACUGCAAUAAUAGGGAAGGGAGACAGGUUUACUACCACAAUGAUCCCGUCAAUGGGUUGGUGGAGAGACUGUUAUCUUUGAUUUAGGAUCAGGGGUAAGCUGAGGCGUUGGACAAGAUCAUAUUAAUGUGGGGCUGAGUUGCUAUACAGCGUCAGCAGGAAUAAAUUAACAUCGUCGACAAAGCUGCCGAUCUCAAGACCACUGAUUGUGAACUUUGAUACAUGCUGCGAAAACAUGAGAGAUUGUCUCAAAGAAAUGAAUACUAAUGUUACCACUGAUAUGAAUCGAGAGGAUAACAACAUCGAUACCGACAUCGGAGGUGAUGUAUAGCAAUGAAAACCAUGAGAUGGCCAAGACCUUGCUAAACAAAUUCGAGGAGAAAAUUAUAUGCUAAUUUUACUCUUAUUUGUUUCAUGUAACUUUGUUAAUGUGGACAUAUUUCCCGAAACUUUAGCAGGUGACGAAACUAGGUAAAGACAUGUCAAGGUCACAGGAAGCAUGGUUGGAUGAUGAGAUUGUUCAAAUAGAUGUCAAGGUCACCAAUGCUGCAGCCAAGAAGAAGUGAUUUCACACAAUGGUUCUUCUGCACAAGUUGUUCCUUUAUUAUCUUUUCAGAGUCUUAGUCUGUUUUUCCAUUUUGUUUGAUUUUCCUGGUACUAUUUUUUGGUGUUAAUUUAUGUUUCAGAACUACAUUUUGUUGCAGAGGGAUGUUUAAAUUGCAUUAAUUUAGACAACUUUGUCUCCCCUUUGUAUGUUUUCGUUAUUAUUGUGAUUCAAAAUAUUUAUCUAUGUUGUUUUAUUGACUUA